UACGGAGGAUGCGAGCGUUAUCCGGAUUUAUUGGGUUUAAAGGGUGCGUAGGCGGGAUGCCAAGUCAGCGGUCAAAUACGGGGGCUCAACCUGCGUCCGCCGUUGAAACUGGCGUUCUUGAGUGGGCGAGAAGUACGCGGAAUGCGUGGUGUAGCGGUGAAAUGCAUAGAUAUCACACAGAACACCGAUUGCGAAGGCAGCUUUCCAAGCUAUUACUGACGCUGAGGCACGAAAGCGUGGGGAGCGAACAGG
rnacentral:rRNA from 1 species